rnacentral:snRNA from 1 species
AUACUUACCUGGACGGGGUCAAUGGGCGAGCAAGAAGGCCUGUGGCCUAGGUUGGUGACCUCCAAUGCACUUUGGAGGUGUGCCUGCCUAAGGUCGGCCCAAGUGGCCCAGCCUACGUCAUUAUUUGUGGCAGCGGGGGCCUGUGUUCGCGCGGCCCCUAC